AUGGGAAACACCCCAGGGCUGCUCCACACCAGCAUUCCCAGCUGGAGAUCCUGUGGGGCACCUUCAGCUCCUGCCAGAUCCCUCUGCAGGGCUGGGGCAGCUCCUGAAGGGGCCCAGCUCCCUCCCAGCCCAGCCAGGAUGGCUCUGGGUCACAGCAGGUGGAUUUUUACUCCAAGGCAAUCACUGAGCACAACAGACCUUUACAAACUGCUUUUCCUCACCCCUAAAGAGGCCAUGGAGAACCAAAACUAUGGACAACCCAAGUAUUCCCCCUUUUUCCCUGCAGAGCAAACAGCACCAAUUGGAUUUUCUCUCCCACAGGUGACAACAGCAAAAGAAAACCCCAAUUUAAGAAUCCACAGAACAAAGUUCACAUUGAAGACAUUUCAAAUGAAGCUCCACGAGUCCCUCUUGUGCUUCAGAGUAGGAGUUUUAACACAGAGCAUGACAGGCCACUACAAGGUUACACCUGGUUGUAGCACAGGAGACACUGGGAAAAGGCAGGAAGGCAUGGAAUGUCCUGGAGAAACCAUGGGAGGUCCUGGAGAAGCAGGAGCAGCUCCAGAAAAGGGAGAGUUUUCCACAAACUGCAGCACAUCUGAUCCCUCUUCCCUCCCAGUGACAGGAAUCCAAAUGGAAAGAACGGCAUUGUUCCAAAUCAAAGCAGGAUUUCUGCCCUCACAAAGCACAGCUGCUCCCUGGGAAUCAAUCAGUGACAGGAACUGUCCCAGCAGCAGCAGCUCCUCCAUUGCUCCCACACUUCCAGGGAGCAGAGGAUGCUCCAGGAUGCUCCAGGACAGGAAACACAGAUGUUUUGAUCAGCAGAUCCCAGCUGAGCUCAGGACACUGCAGAGCUCUGAGCAGCUCCUCCCUUCUGCUCUUCAAACAGCCCAGAGCUGCCACCAAAACCCAAAAGCUUCUCCUUCAUUGGUUUUCAAACCAUGGGCUCAUGGAAAAAGAGGAAAUCCUGGAUUUUUUUCCAGCUCCAGCAUCAAAGGCUUUUAAUACACUGCAGCCUCUGCCUGAGCCUGCACACAUGAAAUCCAAGAGGUUUAAAAGACAUUAAUUUUUGGGUUUGGCUUUGUUGUGCCAAACCCAAAACUUAAAAGCAACAAGGUUACUCUAAGCUUACAACACUGAGUAACCUGGUGGUGGUUGUACACACUUGUAGUAACAUUGGAGUUUUGUGGAGACAAGCUUUUAAUGAACAAGGAAAUGUUAUUAAACUCCUCCAAUGGCAAUUCCAAAGGCAAAGCACCACACAAACAUUUCCAGGAGCUUUCUGCAAGCUGGAUUUGUACAAUAAUUAACCAAUGGCACCUUGAAGUCCUUCAGCAGUCAAUCAAAACCCUCUCCACUUUUAGAUCUCUAAUGAAAAUUAGAGAAUUUAUUAAAGAUAUUCAAAGAACUGAUGAUCCAUAGAAUGACUGGUCCUAAGAAGAGCCAGUCUUGGCUUCCUGCCCCAUUUUCUCUCAGAUUUGGGGAUGGGUGUUGCCCAUUGCCCCUGGAAAGGAAAGGCAGGGCUGAUCCAUCACUCCCACCUGGGGCAGUAUUUCCAGUGUUCCAUUUUUAACCAAUCACUCUUGCAGCUCCCACUCCUUCUUUAACAACUUUAUUUAAGUGUGACAAACCCUCAAUACUAAAAAUCUUCCUCUUUGCCAUUCCAGGCAGUGGAGAAACUCUGUGCUGUCUUUUUGCUUGGAUCUUUCAUGUGCUUUAUAAAAUGGGUAUUUUCUUACCCACAACAGCCACUGAGGGAGGUUUGAGUUGGGUUUUGGACACUGGAUCCACCCAGAGAUUUCACCAAGGGUUAAAAGCACACGAGCAGAGUUAUUGCACUUUCUGCUGUUACAAUGGAAUGUUUCUGCUUUCACUGGAGAUUGGGAAGGCUCAAAUAUUUUCACUUGGCUUCCAAACUUUUUAUAAAAGAGCAAAUCUGAUUGGAAAACUUAAUGGCAGCACCUAACUGAAACAAGAGCUUGAGAAGAGGGCAGAGCAGCAUCCUGAACAGAGCUGCCCAGGGGGAUCUGUGCAAUCCAGCACAGAACAAGGACAGUGGCACAGCUUUCCUGGGCAGGGGAACCCUCCAGGCUCCCAAGGCCUCACCACCACCUCAGAAACGUCCUCAGGCCUUGACCUUGAUAAGCAGCAGCACCCUGAGCUUAUCAGGAGCUCACUGGCUGCUCCCAGGGCUGGAGUACAAACCCCUGGGUUUAGCCACCAGCCCUGCAAUCUGAUUUUUCUUGCCUGAAUAACAAGGCAAGUGGAACAUUUUUGUUAUUGACCUUUCAAAGGAAGAUAUUGACCCAAACUGCAGCCAGGCUGGGCAGUGACUCUGAUCAAAGCAGCUCUCUAUACAGGGAACUGGAGGGGAAUUUUCCCCAGGGACACACCUGGAGCUGCUCCCUGGGGCUGUGCCAGAGCCAAACACUGGCAAUGCUGCUCUCCUGGACUGUGGAGUGCUUUGGGUUUGUGAGUUCAGCCUCUAAGGGAGCUCCUGUUGUGCUUACAGGGAAUUCCACACAAACCCCUUGUUCAAUUCUUACUCUGCUGUUGAGUUAGUGCUGCUAGUGAUUCUCUGAUUGCAGGAAAGCUUCAGGCCUGAACUGCUGAUAAUUGCAGGGCUCAGUCUGGGAGGAUGCUCCACUCUGAACCCUGGGACUCAACUGGAGAAUCUCCCUCAUUUCAUCUCAUUCCAUUUCAUCCUGACCCUUUUCCAUCCCCAGCCUCCAUGCUGGUUGAUUGUAGUUUUAGAUUGCCUGAUUUUCCAUUUUAGUUUUCCUCUGUGUGCUUUAACCAUUUAAUAAGUAACAGAGUGAACCUUGCAAAUGAAUUUGGUCACACUUUUUUACAUCAAACCUGCUUUUGCUCCUGCCUCUCCCAAGGAUUCUUUGGGUGACCUUCAAGCACUCAUUUGUGACCCCCAAUCCCUGGCAGAGAAGUCCUUGCUUCUUCUGUUUCUUCCCAAGUUCACUGCCAUGAGAGAUACUGUUCAUGAGACAGACAAAACAUCCCUACAGAUCCUGCACUCUGAGCAUUCCCUAGAAUCACUCACAAGUGAUUUUAUCAUUUCAGGCCCCAUUUCAAUACCACAACACAGCCCCAUCUGUAACUGCUGUCUCAUCAAUGAUUCCACCUUGGAACAGAGUUACUCUCUUGCUUCAGUUUAACCAAGAUCAUAAAAUAAGAGAGAAAAAUUCCACAUACAUGUUCUGCUGUCUUUCCUCAUUUCCAAUCCUCUGAUCACAAAUCCAUGUGUUGUGGGCUGGCUCUGCACUCCCAUCAAUAAAGGAGCUCCAUAAAAGCUGCUGAACUCA
ensembl:lncRNA